rnacentral:tRNA from 1 species
GUGGCUUUUAACUUAGUGGUAGAGUAAUGCCACGGUAAGGCAUAAGUCAUAGGUUCAAAUCCGAUAAGUUUCA